UACGGGGGGGGGCAAGCGUUGUUCGGAAUUACUGGGCGUAAAGGGCUCGUAGGCGGCCAACUAAGUCAGACGUGAAAUCCCUCGGCUUAACCGGGGAACUGCAUCUGAUACUGGAUGGCUUGAGUUCGGGAGAGGGAUGCGGAAUUCCAGGUGUAGCGGUGAAAUGCGUAGAUAUCAGGAGGAACACCGGUGGCGAAGGCGGCACUCUGGGCCGGUACUGACGCUGAGGAGCGAAAGCGUGGGGAGCGAACAGG
rnacentral:rRNA from 1 species